UCCUAGGCAGAGAUGGUAACGUAGGC
rnacentral:piRNA from 1 species